rnacentral:rRNA from 1 species
ACGAACGCUGGCGGCGUGCUUAACACCUGCAAGUCGAACGGGCCCGCUCUCUUUUUUGGGGGUGGGUUGAGUGGCGAACGGGUGAGUAUCACGUGAGUAACCUGCCCCCUGCUCCUGGAUAACUGCUUGAAAGGGCGGCUAAUACGGGGUGUGCCGGCUGGUCCGCAUGGGCCUGGUCGGGAUAGUUUCAUCUUCGGGUGUUUCGGUGGGGGAUGGGCUCGCGGCCUAUCAGCUUGUUGGUGGGGUGAUGGCCCACCAAGGCGGUGACGGGUAGCCGGCCUGGGAGGGUGGGCGGCCACACUGGGACUGAGACACGGCCCAGACUCCUGCGGGAGGCAGCAGUGGGGGGUAUUGCACAAUGGGCGGAAGCCUGAUGCAGCGACGGCGCGUGAGGGAUGGAGGCCUUCGGGUUGUGAACCUCUUUCUCCGGUGGUGAAGGCCCUGUCCGUUGCGGCGGGGUUGACGGUAGCCGGGUAUGAAGCGCCGGCUAACUACGUG